ACACGAGUCGAGGCUGCCUUCCAGGAAGCAAACAAAAAAAGGGGGGAAAAGGGGGGGAAAGAAAGAAAGAGAAAAAGGAGGGCGAGUGGCGAGCAGGGGCUUCGGCCGCCACCCACACGCCCCGAAGCGUGCUCGUCCCCCGCGCGGGGCUCUCGGCCGCCGCCCUCGGCCAUCGGCUGCUCCCCGGUGGCCCAGGCCUCGGACUCCGCGGCCGGCCCGGCGCGGCCCAGCGCCCUCAGGUGUAUACCAAGGACUGGAAUUGAUGGGCCAAGCUUUGUGUUUUAAGGAAAAAAAAAUCAUGUUUUAGUUUCGUGCUGGUAAUUUGAAGUAAGCAGAUGUCUAGAUAUAAGCUUGGAAACUGGCCAGUUGGAGAUUGCUCACGGCUGCAAUUGAAGACUCCAGCAGCCUCUUCUCCUCUUUGCUUCCAUUUGGAGAGGAAGGCGUCAUAGGCUGUGUGACUUCCGUGGACGCGGGGCUUGGCACCGGCUUGCAGUUGGGAUCAAUCUUCAGUGGCGGUUUGGAGUGGGUCACGGUUCUUCCUGCUUGCCUUCCAGUUUAGUCCCUGACGUCUGCUCCCCAGGGCCCUGGCUCUUCCCCCACGCCUUCAGCCUGCACAGUCCCUUCUCUCAUUCUCAGGCUGCAGAACCUGGAAGUACAGUUGUCCCCCCUUACCCGCUGUUUCAGUUACCUGAGGUCAACCGUGGUCUGAAAAUACUACAUGGAAAAUUCCGGAAAUAAACAAUUCGUAAGUUUUAAAUUGCACGCUGUGAUGAAAUCUCGCGCUGUGCAGCCUGGGCAGUGAAUCGUCCCCUUUGUUCAGCGUCCCCACGCUGUGGACGCUCCACACCCAUAGUCACUUAGUAGCUGGCUCGGUUAUCAGAUCGACCGUCACAGUGUCCCAGUGUAUGUGUUCAAGUCACCCUUAUUUUCCGUCAUAAUGGCCCCAAAGCACAAGAGUAGUGAUGCUGGGAAUUUGGAUAGGCCAAAGAGAAGCCGUAAAGUGCUUCCUCUAAGUGAAAAGGUGAAAGUUCUCGACUUAAUCAGGAAAGACAAAAAAUCCUAUGCUGAGGUUGCUAAGAUCUACGGGAAGAAUGAAUCUUCCAUCCGUGAAAUUGUGAAGAAGGAAAAAGAAAUUCGUGCUAGUUUUGCUGUCUCACCUCCAACUGCUAAAGUGACGGCCACAGUGCGUGAUAAGUGCUUAGUUAAGAUGGAACAGGCACUGCAUUUGUGGGUGGAAGAGAUGAACAGAAAACGUGUUCCCAUUGACAGCAACAUGUUGCGCCAGAAAGCUUUGAGCCUAUACCAAGACUUCUGCAAGGGAUGCUCUGAAACUGACACCAAGCCAUUUACUGCGAGUAAGGGAUGGUUACACAGAUUCAGGCAUAGAUUCUCACAUCAUUACAAGAAGAAGAAGAAGGGGAUCAUGGCCCAGGUAGCAGUGUCCACCCUGCCUGUUGAAGAAGAGUCCUCCUCAGAGACCAGGAUGGUGGUGACAUUCCUCGUGUCUGCCCUCGAAUCCAUGUGUAAAGAACUGGCCAAGUCCAAGGCAGAAGUGGCCUGCAUCGCAGUGUACGAAACAGACGUGUUUGUCGUCGGAACCGAGAGAGGAUGCGCUUUUGUUAAUGCCAGGACGGAUUUUCAGAAAGAUUUUGCAAAAUACUGCGUUGCAGAGGGACUGUGUGAGGUGAAACCUCCCUGCCCUGUGAACGGGAUGCAGGUCCACUCAGGCGAAACGGAAAUACUCAGGAAGGCAGUGGAGGACUAUUUCUGCUUUUGUUAUGGUAAAGCCUUAGGGACAACAGUGAUGGUGCCUGUUCCCUAUGAGAAGAUGCUGCGAGACCAGUCGGCUGUGGUAGUGCAGGGGCUUCCGGAAGGCGUUGCCUUUCAACACCCUGAGAAUUACGACCUUGCAACCCUGAAAUGGAUUUUGGAGAACAAAGCAGGGAUUUCAUUCAUCAUAAAUAGAGCUGACUGUUCAGAUGUGUCAUGCUUUUUUCAUUGGUCCGUGCUGGGUAAUGGUGUUGCUUUUCUUGCAGACCCUUCCUAGGACCAGAGAGUCAGCUGGGUGGCCCUGGGAUGGUAACAGAUGCGGAGAGAUCCAUAGUAUCACCAAGUGAAAGCUGCGGCCCCAUCAAUGUGAAAACUGAACCCAUGGAAGAUUCUGGCAUUUCACUGAAAGCAGAAGCUGUCUCAGUCAAGAAAGAAUCAGAAGAUCCUAAUUACUAUCAAUAUAAUAUGCAAGGAAGCCACCCUUCUUCCACAAGCAAUGAAGUAAUAGAAAUGGAAUUACCAAUGGAAGACAUUUUUUUUUCAAGAUUCCACUCCGCUGGUCCCUUCAGAAGAACCAAAUGAGGACCCUGAAGCCGAGGUGAAAAUCGAAGGAAACACAAAUUCAUCCAGUGUUACAAAUUCUGCAGCAGGUGUUGAAGAUCUUAACAUCGUUCAAGUGACUGUUCCAGAUAAUGAGAAGGAAAGAUUAUCAAGCAUUGAAAAGAUUAAACAGCUAAGAGAACAAGUUAAUGACCUCUUUAGCCGAAAAUUUGGUGAAGCAAUUGGCGUGGAUUUCCCUGUGAAAGUUCCCUACAGGAAGAUCACAUUCAACCCUGGCUGUGUGGUGAUUGAUGGCAUGCCCCCGGGGGUGGUAUUCAAGGCCCCCGGCUAUCUGGAAAUCAGUUCCAUGAGGAGGAUCUUGGAGGCAGCUGAGUUUAUCAAAUUCACAGUCAUCAGGCCGCUUCCAGGGCUUGAGCUCAGUAAUGUGGGAAAACGCAAGAUAGACCAGGAGGGCCGUGUGUUUCAAGAAAAGUGGGAGAGAGCGUAUUUCUUCGUGGAAGUACAGAAUAUUCCAACAUGUCUCAUAUGCAAACAAAGCAUGUCUGUGUCCAAAGAAUAUAACCUAAGACGCCACUAUCAAACCAAUCACAGCAAGCAUUAUGACCAGUAUAUGGAAAGAAUGCGUGACGAGAAGCUUCACGAGCUGAAAAAAGGGCUCAGGAAGUAUCUCUUAGGCUCAUCAGACACCGAGUGUCCCGAGCAAAAACAAGUGUUUGCAAACCCAAGUCCAACCCAGAAAUCCCCCGUGCAGCCUGUAGAGGACCUAGCUGGGAACUUAUGGGAGAAGUUACGUGAAAAAAUCAGGUCUUUUGUGGCAUAUUCUAUCGCAAUCGAUGAGAUCACGGAUAUAAAUAAUACCACCCAGUUGGCCAUAUUCAUCCGUGGUGUCGAUGAGAAUUUCGAUGUGUCCGAAGAACUUCUGGACACGGUGCCCAUGACGGGUACAAAAUCUGGCAACGAGAUCUUUUCGCGUGUUGAGAAAAGCCUGAAAAACUUCUGUAUCGACUGGUCGAAAUUAGUAAGCGUGGCCUCCACUGGCACCCCAGCGAUGGUGGAUGCCAAUAACGGGCUUGUCACAAAACUGAAGUCCAGGGUGGCGACGUUCUGCAAGGGUGCGGAACUGAAGUCCAUCUGUUGUAUAAUUCAUCCGGAAUCACUCUGUGCUCAGAAGUUGAAGAUGGACCACGUCAUGGACGUGGUAGUGAAGUCCGUGAACUGGAUAUGCUCCCGGGGACUGAACCACAGUGAGUUCACAACCUUGCUCUAUGAGCUGGACAGCCAGUAUGGUAGCCUCCUGUACUACACGGAGAUUAAGUGGCUCAGUCGCGGGCUCGUGCUAAAGAGAUUUUUCGAAUCCUUGGAAGAAAUCGACUCCUUCAUGUCAUCCAGAGGGAAACCCCUGCCUCAACUGAGCUCCAUAGAUUGGAUCCGAGACCUGGCCUUCUUGGUUGACAUGACGAUGCAUCUGAACGCUUUGAACAUCUCUCUCCAAGGACACUCCCAAAUCGUCACGCAGAUGUAUGACCUGAUCCGGGCGUUCCUAGCAAAACUGUGCCUCUGGGAGACUCAUUUGACGAGGAAUAAUCUGGCCCACUUUCCCACCCUGAAAUUGGCUUCCAGAAAUGAAAGCGAUGGCCUGAACUACAUUCCCAAAAUCGCGGAACUCCAGACCGAAUUCCAGAAAAGGCUGUCUGAUUUCAAACUCUACGAAAGCGAACUGACUCUGUUCAGCUCCCCGUUCUCCACGAAGAUCGACAGUGUGCACGAGGAGCUCCAGAUGGAGGUUAUCGACCUGCAAUGCAACACGGUCCUGAAGACGAAAUACGACAAGGUGGGAAUACCAGAAUUCUACAAGUACCUCUGGGGUAGCUACCCGAAAUACAAGCACCAUUGCGCAAAGAUUCUUUCCAUGUUCGGGAGCACCUACAUCUGCGAACAGCUGUUCUCCAUUAUGAAACUGAGCAAAACAAAAUACUGCUCCCAGUUAAAGGAUUCCCAGUGGGAUUCUGUACUCCACAUCGCAACGUGAUGGAGAGAAAACUCCUGGCAGGGCCCUAUGGUGGGAAAGGCUGGAGUCUUCUAGUCCCAAGGGAUUGGGAGAUGACAAAAUGAAUUUUUUUUUCUUUUUUGAGAUGGAGUCUUGCUCUGUCGCCCAGGUUGGAGUGCAGUGGCGUGAUCUCGGCUUACUGCAACUUCCAGCUCCUGGGUUCGAACGAUUCUCCUGCCUCAGCCUCCCGAGCAGCUGGGACUACAGGCGUGCGCCACCAUGCCUGGCUAAUUUUUGUAUUAGUAGAGAUGAGGUUUCACCAUGUUGGCCAGGCUGGUCUCCAACUCCUGACCUCAGGUGAUCCACCUGCCUCGACCUCACAAAGUGCUGGGAUUACAGGCAUGAACCACUGUGCCCAGCUGACAAAAUGAGUUCUUAAACUUUUUUUUUUUUCAGUUUUUUUUCCACUUUGAAUCAGAAAUAUAAUCUGCAGUAUCAUACUUGUUUAUAUUACAUUGUAUGCCUCACUAUUCAUUAAAAAUCAAGAAAGUUU